AACCCUAGCCUUUCUCAUUUUCUCCUUCUUCCUCUUUCAGCCGCACAUGCCUCUUUCUCUCUGCUCUCCCUCUCUUCCUCUCACCUUCUCUCUGUCACGCCGGAAAGCUCGACUUCCGGCCGUCGACUUUGACACCGCCACCACCAAAAGAUAGCCCAAGCGAUGAAGAAUAAAACCUCAGCCACCCUUCCAUCGAUCGAGAUCACCGGACCACCGCACGCGACUCCCAAACCUACUACAUCACUGUUCCUUAACCCUCUUCGAUCUCCGUCCAUUUUUCAAUACACGGCCACCACGAACGUGCUCAGACCAAGAUUCAAAAUCCAAGAGUUUCGUCGACCAUUGAGGCUGAAAGACCACCGGGUGACGCCUUCUCACUCAAUCAUUCUCCUACUCUGCCAAAAGAAAAGAGACUGCGUGAUGCAUAUGAGAAACUCAAAAAGAGAGGUAUCCCACUAGCAUCAAAGCAAGUGAAUUACAGUCUCAUAUACAAGGCACCAGAGGAGAAUGGAGUUAAGGCUACCUGUGACAAACUUGGGAUCACUUUGAUUGCCUAUUAACCUAUUGCUCAAGGUACAGUGUGAAUUUUUGAUGUUUUGCAUUCCUUUUAAUAAUGCCUUUUCUAACAUGUUUCUGCAGGAAUAUAAGGAGAAGCCAGGUUAUGCACGUUGUGUUGCUAUUGUAGCAUCUGCAUCUUUGAGGGAGAUGAUAAAACCUGGUGCCUUGGCUAUUGUUUCACCUAUAGCAGUUGGUAUUGCGUUCCGGAUAUUUGGAUACUAUACUGGGCAGCCUCUACUUGGUGCUAAAGUUGUGGCUUCCAUGCUGAUGUUUGAAACAGUGUCUGGUAUUCUCAUGGCUCUUUUCCUGAACACGGCAGGUGGUGCCUGGGAUAACGCAAAGAAGUACAUCGAGACGGGUUCUCGGAGGCAAAGGAAGUGAUUGUUAUAAGGCUGCAGUUACAGGAGACACAUAUGGUAAUCAGAUCAUGAGUGGGGCUUGAAGGUUUGUACUGACAGGUGGCCAAGAUUUUAUAAAAUUUUGCAAGGUCACAGAAGCACUGGAGAUGUUGCAGCUGCAAGUAGGAACUGAAGUGUUGUGGAGAUCCUCUUACCUUUAUCUGUUUUGGUAUUUAGACUCUUUAGGUAUAUAUAGGCAUGGUUAAUGUGCAUUGGACACAUUUAUCGACAAGUUUAUGUUUUUGGCCUUUAAGUAUAUUGGCAAGGUUAGUAUGUGUUAAUAUUGGGAUGAACCUACUGCUGAUGGAAUAUUGUAGAUCUUGUUGGAUUCAAUGGAAAGCUUUUGGUAUCAA